UACGAAGGGGGCUAGCGUUGUUCGGAAUUACUGGGCGUAAAGCGUGCGCAGGCGGCUUCCCAAGUCAGUGGUGAAAGCCCGGAGCUCAACUCCGGAAAUGCCAUUGAAACUGUGAAGCUCGAGAAUGAGAGAGGUGAGUGGAAUUCCCAGUGUAGAGGUGAAAUUCGUAGAUAUUGGGAAGAACACCAGUGGCGAAGGCGGCUCACUGGCUCGUAACUGACGCUCAUGCACGACAGCGUGGGGAUCAAACAGG
rnacentral:rRNA from 1 species